UGGGGAAUUGUUCGCAAUGGGCGCAAGCCUGACGACGCAACGCCGCGUGGAGGAUGAAGGUCUUCGGAUUGUAAACUCCUGUUGAUCGGGAAGAAUGGCCUCCGGGUGAAUACUCCGGAGGAAUGACGGUACCGAUUGAGGAAGCCCCGGCUAACUCUGUGCCAGCAGCCGCGGUAAUACAGAGGUGGCAAGCGUUGUUCGGCAUUACUGGGCGUAAAGGGCGCGUAGGCGGCCUUCUAAGUCGGACGUGAAAGCCCCAGGCUUAACCUGGGAACUGCGUCCGAUACUGGGAGGCUUGGAUUCGGGAGAGGGAUGUGGAAUUCCAGGUGUAGCGGUGAAAUGCGUAGAUAUCUGGAGGAACACCGGUGGCGAAGGCGGCAUCCUGGACCGGGAUCGACGCUGAGGCGCGAAAGCUAGGGGAGCAAA
rnacentral:rRNA from 1 species